rnacentral:rRNA from 1 species
GACGAACGCUGGCGGCGUGCCUAAUACAUACAAGUAGAACGCUGAAGGAGGAGCUUGCUUCUCCGGAUGAGUUGCGAACGGGUGAGUAACGCGUAGGUAACCUGCCUGGUAGCGGGGGAUAACUAUUGGAAACGAUAGCUAAUACCGCAUAAGAGUAGAUGUCGCAUGACAUUUGCUUAAAAGGUGCAACUGCACCACUACCAGAUGGACCUGCGUUGUAUUAGCUAGUUGGUGAGGUAACGGCUCACCAAGGCAACGAUACAUAGGCGACCUGGAAGGGGGGUCCGGCCCACCGGGAAUGGGACACGGCCCAAGAUCCCUCGGGGGGGAGCCAGAGGGGAAUUUCGGGAAAUGGGGGAAGGCUGGACGGGCAACGCCGGGGGGGUGGAGAAAGGUCUCGGAUCGUAAAGCUCUGUUUUUAGGGGAGAAAGAGAUGGGGAAUGGAAAGUUCACGUUGUGACGGUACCUUACCAGAAAGCGACGGCUAACUACGUG